rnacentral:lncRNA from 1 species
UAUUAUUAUUAUUAUUAUUAUUAUUUUGAAUUUAUCCAAUUUAUCAUUAAAGAUAAGAGGGGAUAGAGAAUCGUAUGUUGAUUGUCUUUUAAAGGUAAGUUUUUUCGUCCUUAUGAAAAAGGGAAUAAAUAAAUCAAUCAAAUUUCGACACUCUUCAUGAAGUGCGUCUUUCAGAGUUAAACUCUCAUUUGUCCAUAUUUCGAGAAACGAUAUCUCUUAUUUUUCAUUUCAUUUUUCAUAAGCUUGAAUAUUAUGAUUCACAUUUCAAAAAAGCAUGAACACAUCAUCUAUAGGAUAACUUCCAUCUAAAAAGUUAUGUGGCACUUUGAUAAGAUAACCUUUUCAUUCCAAUUUCCAA